CUCAGUAUUUAAUAAGAUGUUACAUUAGCAGUAUUUGGCUUAGUGUUAUAUGUAAUAAUAACACUUAUUCAUUUCUUUGUCUACUCAACCAGAAGUUAGUUACUGAGUGCUUUAUGUGUGUUUAACACAGUAGUGAUUAGUAUAAAUAGCUACCAAGAGAGAAACUACUUUCAGAGAGAUUAUGUUCAAAACAGUCCACAAAUUAUUAUUAUUCCCAUUUUUGCAGAUUAGGGGACUGAACAAACAGAUAAAUGACUAAAGGUCAUUCAACUAACAGUGACCAGAGUCAAGAGUGAGACAUUAGGCGCAUUUGCUAUACAAAUCCAGUUUUCCUAUUGCAUUGUCUAAGGGUGAGCUGCAUUUGUAGACUUCCACUGGAUCGUUUUGUAGUUUUCUGAAGUUUUUCAUACCCUAGGUUAUAGAUAGCAGAGGCAGUUCACAUCACAGCCUAUCAUAUAUUGAAUGAGUCGAUGCAAAUAAAGUUAGUUACUACAACAAAGAGAGCACAGCAACUUAACACGAUAGAGUGUUAUUGUACCCUCAGGUGCUAGUAUGUGAAGACCCUGAAGAUCACUGAUGUCAGAAGAGUGUGAGCACAUUAGAAUGUGCGUCAGCUGAGCUCAUGGAAGGUCUGCUCAGGUCUGUCUAUGCAGGAAGGCUGACUGGAGAAUACUCCUUCCUUGAUUAUUAGAGACAUAUUGUAAGUAUCUGGAUUUGUACCACCUGUCACAAAGAAAAAUGAAGACUACCUUAUCCUUGACCUUAAUGAGCUUUAGUCUUUCCAGGAGAGAUGACUAAGAACUAUAGAUCCAGGCAGAGAGAGAAAACCAUGAGAAAGGAGCCAACACAAUUCCCAAAGGGUCCAUGGUGAAGGAUACUUUUCAAAGUGGGAGGCCAGAGACUGGUCAGAAUUGUGCUUAAAUAACUGAAGAAAAUGGGAGAAGCAGUCAUUUUGAUGUCUGAAGCUGAGCAGAGCUACAGUGAGGGCUGUCCGAAUUGAGGCAGCAAUCUUGAUUAGGGAUAGUCUAAAUCAGUGGUUAGGUCAGUGAUCACAACUGAGUGGAGCUCUGUCAUUCUCAUAGUACUGUU
rnacentral:lncRNA from 1 species